rnacentral:rRNA from 1 species
UGAUGUGAAAGCCCCCGGCUCAACCGGGGAGGGUCAUUGGAAACUGGGAAACUUGAGUGCAGAAGAGGAGAGUGGAAUUCCACGUGUAGCGGUGAAAUGCGUAGAGAUGUGGAGGAACACCAGUGGCGAAGGCGACUCUCUGGUCUGUAACUGACGCUGAGGAGCGAAAGCGUGGGGAGCGAACAGGAUUAGAUACCC